GGUCACCAUGGAAACACUGGGGGUCACCAUGGGGUCACCAGGUGUCACCAUGGGAUCACCAGGAGUCACCACGGGAUCACCAGGAGUCACCAUGGGGUCACCAGGAGUCACCAUGGGAUCACCAGGGGUCAUCAUGACAGCACCAGGAGGUCACCAGGGGAUCACCAGGAGUCACCAUGGGAUCACCAGGAAUCACCAUGGGAUCACCAGGAUCUCACUAUGGGAUCACCAGGAGUCACCAUGGCAGCACUGGGAGUCACCAUGGCAGCACCAUAAGGUCACCAUGGGAUCACCAGGAUCUCAUUCACCAUGGGAUCACCAUCAUCUCACCAUGGGAUCACUAGGAUGUCACCAUGGGAUCACCAGGAGUCACCAUGGCAGCACUGGGAGUCACCAUGGGAUCACCGGGAAUCACCAUGGGAUCACCAGGAGUCACCAUGGGAUCACCAGGAGUCACUAUGGCAGCACCAGGAGUCACCAUGGGAUCACCAGGAUUCACCAUGGGAUCACCAGGAUGUCCCGAUGGGAUCACCAGGAGUCACCAUGGCAGCACUGGGAGUCACCAUGGCAGCACCAUAAGGUCACCAUGGGAUCACCAGGAUCUCAUUCACCAUGGGAUCACCAUCAUCUCACCAUGGGAUCACCAGGAAUCACCAUGGGAUCACCAGGAGGUCACCAUGGCAGCACUGGGAGUCACCAUGGGAUCACCAGGAUGUCACCAUGGGAUCACCAG
rnacentral:lncRNA from 1 species